GUUUUGGAUUUGAGAUCUUUACUGAUGCUGGUCAGUAUGUGAUACGAUUUGGUAGUUCUGAUCCCAGUUCCAAGAGUGCUCACGCUGCAGCGACUCAUGAUUUGGAAGUUGCCCGUCCUUUGACAUUAUCAGAGAGGGCUGUAGCUGUUGCUCUUGCCAUUUCUUUAGAUAAUGACUAUUUUUCAAGGCACGGUGGCUGGGGAAUCCCUUUCGUUGCAGUUGACGAGUAGAUAUCAAUUUGCUGCAUCAGCUGAAUCCCAUAAAUUUGCUUUUUGGCCCCACCCUUGAGGGCUUUAAGUUGUAAACUUCAGCAAGAAGUUCUUCUAAGGUCUCGGCUAUUGUUUUCUGUUUGUUCACCGGUGUCUAUAGGUGGUUUUAAAGGAUGAUUUCUUUCUGCUAUCUCCUCCAGGAGUAAAGACACUAACUAAUUUGCUCCGAGAUGAUGUGUAUUUUGACACUAGCCUCUCCCCCACCCAAUCCCCUUAUUUCUUCUGUCUGCAAAAGUCUAGCAUGGUCACCAUCCAUAAUGUUCAAUCCACCUAUAGACACCGGUGAACAAAC
rnacentral:misc_RNA from 1 species